UGCUUAUUAAUUUAUCAAACUAAUGGCGUAUAUUUCUGAUCAAAAGAAGAUGUAACGUAACGUUCACGUUAAAACCUGGACAUUUUAUAAAAUACUCUGCUUACUGUCUGACAAGAGAUAGGCGAAAGAUAACAAAACAAUAUCAAAACUCAUAUUCGAAGACAAACUGACGAUGCCAUGGCAAAAAAACAAAAACAAAAGAAAAAAAUGAAGAGAAGCCAAACGCACAAGUUAACACAUACUAUAGAAAACUAAAGACUGAACAACAACGAAC
rnacentral:lncRNA from 1 species